rfam:Gavia stellata contig111829, whole genome shotgun sequence.
UGUUUUGCACAGUGGCAGUAUUGUAGCCUGUGAGGUUAAUCCGAGGCUCGAUUAUUGCUAGUUGAGAAACUC